rnacentral:rRNA from 1 species
CAGGUAAUGCUGGGAACUCCGUAGAGACUGCCGUCGUAAGGCGUGAGGAAGGUGGGGAUGACGUCAAAUCAGCACGGCCCUUACAUCCGGGGCGACACACGUGUUACAAUGGUAAGGACAAAGGGCAGCUACCUGGCGACAGGAUGCGAAUCUCUAAACCUUAUCACAGUUCGGAUCGGAGUCUGCAACUCGACUCCGUGAAGCUGGAUUCGCUAGUAAUCGCGCAUCAGCCAUGGCGCGGUGAAUACGUUCCCGGGCCUUGUACCCACCGCCCGUCAAGCCAUGGGAGUCUGGAGUACCUAAAGUCCGUAACCGC